rnacentral:rRNA from 1 species
ACCCUACCCGUGAAGUACCUCUCACCUCUCCCGGCCUCGAGCCGAACAGUAUCUCCUGAAAGCCCAACAGUUGGGCUGCUGGAUUUCCCAAGAGACUUAUCCGGCCGGCUACAGACCCUUUAGACCCAAUAAUAACGGUUACCACUCGAGCCGCCGGUGUUACCGCGGCGGCUGGCACCGGUCUUGCCCGGCCCUUGCUAUGCAAUGCUUUUUAGGCAUCACGACAGCCAGAUUUGUAACCUGGCACUCGAGGUCCCCUUAUCGCUGUUGCCAGCAUUGUAAAGUUUUCGCGCCUGCUGCACCCCGUAGGGCCUGGAUUCGUGUCUCAGAAUCCAUCUCCGGGCUCUUGCUCUCACAACCCGUACCCGUCGUAGGCUAGUAGGUACGUUACACCCACUACUACCUGAUAGGCCGCAGACCCAUCCUCAGGCACCGGAGCUUUCGCCCUCGGCGCAUUCCAGCUCCCGAGGACUAUCGGGUAUUAUACCCAGUUUCCCGGGUUUAUCCCCGUCCUGAGGGUAGGUUGUCCACGUGUUACUGAGCAGUACGCCAUGCCUUGCGGCAUUCGACUCGCAUGGCUUAGUCGAACCUCGAUAGCAGUAACCUCUGGCAGGAUCAACCAGGUCUGCAGCGGCCGCGGAUCCGCA